AUGGCCAUCCGCGAACUGGGAAGAAGGCCCUCACCGAGACUGAUCUGCCAGCACCCUGACCUUGGACCUCCCGGCCUCCAGAACUAUGAGAAGUAAGUGCCUGUUGUUUAUGCCACCCCGUCAGUGGUAGCUUGUUAGGGCAGCCCCAGAUGACUGAGACAGCGUGACAGUUACAAUUCUUAGUUGCAAACAACAGAAUCCAUUCUUGUUCGUUUAAGGGGGAGAAGGGGGGAGUUUAGUCAAGACCAUUAAAGAGUGCACAGAUGUCCAGGAGAGCUGGACUCUGAAGCCUUUCGCCGUAAAGCGCCCAACCACACGAAGGGGUUUCUUAGAGAGGACCCCACGGCCACUCGGCACAUAGGACCCUCAGCAGCAGAAACCAGAAGCUCAAUCCCUCCUCUGCCCUCAGGAAUCAAAUCCCUGCCACUCCGUGUUGCCCCCCUGGUGGGGGCGCGGCCUCAAACCAAGUCUCAUGCGGACACGUCACAUACAGAGUGCCGCACAGGCAUCUAGAGAUGCGAGGGUCCUGGCUUCUCCCUUCGGGACGCGGGAUUUGGGAUGCAAGAGUUAUCCCGAGUGUCAGGAGGAUAUGCAGAGAUGUGCCCCCAGUCGGAUUCAUCAGCAAGUGACGAUCCUGAGUCCCACCGAGUCUACCCCCUUAGCCUUCCGGGGCCGUGGCCACCCCUCCCACCGGAACAGAAAAAGGACGUUGGUAGAAAAGCUGCAAGAAAUCCAAAGAGCAUCUGAAAUCUGGACCUGUCGGGCACCGGGCUCUGCUCCUGUGUUUGCAAGCAAGGCUCAGAGAGGAAGAGGUUACUGAGAUCACAGAGCUGAAAGGGGGAAUUUGGACAAAAACACACGCGGGGACCACGCCAUGUGAACAUGAAAGCAGAGCGCUGGAAGCCAAGAAACACCAAAGAUGACCAGCAAAGCCCCAGGAUCUAGGACACAGGCCUGGAACAGGUUUGCCCUCACAGCCUCGGAAAGAACUUUGAUCAGACUUCUGGUCUCCAGAACUGUGAGACAAUAAAUUUCUGUGGUCGAAGCCA